GUAAGGGCUUUGGUUAAGGAGCUGAUGUUGACUGAUCAUGAUAAUUAUCCUGAGCAAAGUGUGGUUUUAUUGAUACUUUUGUUCAUGCGAAAAUAGCUUGUUGGCAAAUCUGCUGAUCUUCGACAUUGUUCGGGACAGGUAUGUUUUGAGUAAACAAUGAACAUAUGUGUACUUUGACUGCAGGAUUUCUUUCAUACAAACAA